rnacentral:tRNA from 1 species
UAAAAAGUAAGCUAAAUUUAAGCUGUUGGGUUCAUACCCCAAAUAUGGACGUCCCUUUUUAA